GUUGGGGUGGGGACUGCUGGGAGGCUGCCCUGUUAAUCUCUCUCUACCAUACAAGGCACUCCUUGGGUGACCCCCGUGACUGUGAUGCAGAACAGGGAAGGAGAGUGGGUGUUAACCUUGAGCCUAAGGCUCCUCCUCCACCUGUGGGACUGUAAGCCACCUCUCCUGGGCUGAGGGCUCUGGAAGGAGGCUUGGCUGCUCCUCAGCACUCGGGGAGCGGUUUUUCAGGCACACACACUUGAGCUCCAUGACCUCCCAGAUUCCCACCGCCCCUGCUUGACUCUUCCCCUGUCUCCCCUUCCUGAAAUGACCCCCUCUGAAUUCCUUUGACUGUUCUCUGGUUGUCAGUCUCACAGUGACAGGUGUGUAAAGCAUGAGGUGACCUUGGGCAAGUUGUUCAACCUCAGUGUUAUCACCUGUAGAACGGAGAAAACAAGACUACAUACUUUGGAGGUGAGGACGCUGUAGGAAGUCAUCUGCGAAGCGGAGAGUGCACCUUUACCAGACGCGGAGUCUGCUGGCGCCUUGAUCUCGGACUUUGCAGCUUCCAGAACCGAGUGAUGCACAGGCCACCUCUUCUGUGACCUCGAGGGCUCAGGAUUCCUCAUGUCCUGAGGCUGGUGCGUUUGAGGACGUAUGGCCUAGGCAAGCCAUGAGCUGGCAGGGCCCCAGAGCUGCCUCAUGCAUAAAACACAGUUCCAGUUAUGAGUUUUGUUUUCUACCAAGCCCCGUGUUGAAACAAUUAUCUAAAAUCGCGCAUGCCCUUUCUUUCAUGAUCCUUCAGAAGCACACCACAAGACCAUGAAAACUCAGGCAGAUUGACAGGUGUGUCGCUUUACGGAUGUGCCUGGAAGGACCCUCUCCCCAGAGGUCAGCCCUGCGGAGGUGUAUACUGUGGUGGCAGCCACUCCUCUUCAGCAGGGAAAACCAUCAUGUCUUCAAGCACCUUUGGGUUUCUUGUCAGUCAGUGGGGAAAGGGAUUCCCAGCAGGUCCCCAGGAGCAUUUGCAGCUCGGACCCAUCACCUUUUCUUCUCUUUGCUCUUCUGUUAGUGCUGGGUUGCCGUCCAUUUCCCUGUCAGUGGAGGCUGAUAUUAGAUAAAUACCGGCUGUCACCGGUGGGCUCGGCCCAGGUUUUCUACCCCUGACUACAUCCUUUCAACAGGUGUCUGGUGACACAGAGCCCAUGUGGUCCUGUCUGCCUCACAGAUGUUAGGUUCCAGCCAAAAAAAAAAAAAAAAACAAACAAAAACCACAACCCUAGGGUGGAAAAGAAGUGUCCAGAUUUUACUGAAAAUGAGGCUUUCUAGGGCUGCUGACUAAGGCGUUUUCUUUCCAAACAUCUGAAACAGCAAACAGAUUGUAAAUUAAGAGGGAGUUACAAGAUAGUAGCUGAAGGGAAGCAAUACCUGCCUGUCUUCUGGGUUGUAGCUGUUGCUGCAUGGCCAGGACAGCAGUGGCCAGGAAAGGUGAUUAAAUAGGGUGGGGGAGAAGGGAUCACCGUGGAACAGGGGUGCCGAGACAGAUAUUAGGUUAACGGGAAGUGAGUUCAGGCCUCUUCUUUGAGCCAAGGGAGAACAUUUUAUCUGACAAGAGCUUGAACUGACCCGUGCCAUUCUCUGAUUCCCACCCAGAUCAAAGUUCAGACUCCCAAGGCAACUCAGCAGAAAUAAAGUGAAAUAAAUUGCAACCCCACUCCCCUGAUGCUUCCUAGGACUAAAGUGUUCUAUGAGGAGUUGGACAGUCCUUAGGCAAGACUUCUCU
rnacentral:lncRNA from 10 species